rnacentral:sRNA from 1 species
CAACGUCACUACAACGGCAGCCGACCCC